rnacentral:lncRNA from 1 species
CAGUCUCCUUUAACCUUAGAGGGUUCCACUUUAAUCUUCAACAAGAUUACAACUGAGUAUUCUCACCACUCCUGGUAUCCUUAGGCAAUCUCGGUAUCCCCCGAUACGCUACCUAGUUGAGUUUCACCCAUCCCUGGUUGCACAUUGUUCUUCAUCACUCUUGUUAUCCCUAGUCAACGAAUAACUCCUAUUAUCCUUGACUAGUUGAGUUUCACCCACUCCUAGUUUCCACUAGACAAUUUUGGUAUCCCCUGAU